rnacentral:rRNA from 1 species
UACGGAGGGUGCACGCGUUAAUCGGAAUUACUGGGCGUAAAGUGCACGCAGGCGGUUUGUUAAGUCAGAUGUGAAAUCCCCGAGCUUAACUUGGGAACUGCAUUUGAAACUGGCAAGCUAGAGUCUUGUAGAGGGGGGUAGAAUUCCAGGUGUAGCGGUGAAAUGCGUAGAGAUCUGGAGGAAUACCGGUGGCGAAGGCGGCCCCCUGGACAAAGACUGACGCUCAGGUGCGAAAGCGUGGGGAGCAAACAGG